rnacentral:rRNA from 1 species
UACAGAGGGUGCGAGCGUUGUCCGGAAUCACUGGGCGUAAAGGGCGCGUAGGUGGCGACCCAAGUCGAUGGUGAAAGCUUGCCGCUCAACGGCGAGUCGGCCACCGAUACUGGGUUGCUGGAGCACUGUAGAGGCUCAUGGAAUUCCGGGUGUAGCGGUGGAAUGCGUAGAGAUCCGGAAGAACACCGGUGGCGAAGGCGGUGAGCUGGGCAGUUGCUGACACUGAGGCGCGGACAGCGUGGGGAGCAAAC